UUGUUAAAAUGACCUGUGAGAUCAGACAUUUUAUGUCACAACAAUAAUAACAGUUUAGUCCUGAUGUAGACCUGGUCUGGUCCAGUUCUAGUCCUGGUUUAACUGGUCUCAGUUUGAUCUCAGUUGGUUAUAGCCACUUUAGUCCAACUUUAGUCCUGGUUUAGUUCCACUGAGUAUUUUACUAGCAAGUUUAAAGUGUGUAUGGCAGGUUUUGAUAAUUCUCUCAUUUUGACUUAAUUUGGUGGGAUAAUAGCUGUUGUAAAUAUAUGACAUAUAUAUACAUGCCAUAUAUAUUUACACAAAUCAAUAAGCAAUUCAGUUAAAAAAUAAUUUGGAAAUUACAGGAAAUCGAGAGUUCUAAAACUUAGACUAGAAUUCUGUCUUAAUUUUUGGCACAUUUUACAUGCAAGAAACAUGUUUUUUCUUUUACUUUUAAACAUGGUAAAAUGGUUUGCAAAAUCUUAAAAAUGAUCUUAACAAAGUUUUAAUAAAAUAAGUGGUCCAACCUGUCACAGGUAUUUUAAAAGAAAAUAUUUGUCCUAUUUUGCACAUUAUGACUGUACACUGCAAAAAACUCUUUCUUUAAACAGUAAACAACAAAGAAUACAAGGAAGCUCUGACAACAACAAACACAACAGCAAAUACUACUAGUACUACAACAACUACUACGGCUUCUACUACAACUACUAAAAGUACUACUGCAAGCCCAGUUCCAUGUACAUACCAGUGUGACAGUGGCUGGGAGCUGAAUGGACCAAAGUGUUAUUAUUUCUCCACAAAUAAAUUAUCAUGGACCCAGAGCGAGGAGAAAUGUGUAACUCUGGAUGGACACAUGGUGAAGAUAAACAGCAGAAAAGAGCAGGCCGGUCUGAACAGGGUCACAGGUGCUCAACAUCAUUUGGAACAUUUCUCAUCAGUUCAGUUCUCAGACUCUUUGUCAGAACACUGGACACAGGUCUCAUUCACAAACACACAUCAUCAGUGAAUUCACCUUGUUUUUUCAACACUCUCACAUAUUAAAGGACUUUGGCCCAAACUCUGUCACUUUUAAUAUAGAAACUCAACUAGAACAGCAAAUCAAAAUGAGUGAGCACCAAAAAUCUAACAAAGUAUUUCACAUGAGUCAAACAGGGAGAAGGCUCUCAGCAGUGAGUACAUGUGUACAACACACACACUUUCAGAUACAUGCAGGACUUGUUUGAUUUUCAAGAACAUUCCGCAUUACAGUACAAAAGUAAUAUUGAUGUAUUUGCUAUUCCAACUACACAAAACCAGUGUUUCUGUGUGGCGACUGAGAGAAGAACUAAAACCUCUGAGCUGCGCUGUCACACCACAGACAUGAGGAGAUUCUGAUGAGAGUUUAAUCUGUGAUUGCAAAGACUGCUGCAGGAUCUGGCUGUGGACCACAGGAUUCAAAGUUAAGAAAGCACAUCGCAUCAGCUGUUUCUCGUCUUGAGUAAAACAACUCGCUUUGAGACUCUUAAAUGUUCUAAAUAUCAGAGCAUUGCACUUCCAGUUUAGUUACAAGUUGAAACUGUGUUAUUAUUAUUUAUGAAAUGUGGUGCAAAAUUUCAGAUAAUUGCAGCCUAAAUCAGACACAACAUCCUGUAGUGUACAUUUAUUUUUAAGUUAAAUAUAUUUUAUUUACAAAUACAAUACAGCUUUUCAUCAAAUUAAUUUGUGUAAAGUGUGAACUCCAGUGUCACAUACAAGUUUUGUUUUGGAUAGCUCGAAUUCUCUUUAGGAUUUCGUGUGAGCUGUUUUGCAAAUGUACAUUUUCUAUAGACAAAU